rnacentral:misc_RNA from 1 species
AACGCACCUUGCGCUCCUUGGUAUUCCGAGGAGCAUGCCUGUUUGAGUGUCAUUAUAUUCUCAAUCUCUACAACUUUGUGUUGUCCAGAUUGGAAGUGGGGGUUCUUUGUGUGGAAUCCAAUUUCUCACUCCCCUUAAAUGUAUUAGCUGGAAUGCCUCUGCAUAUCUGACUAUCAGUGUGAUAAUUAUCUAUGCUGUAGUUGUUGCAUGUGAGGGUAUCUGCUUCAUAAAUCGUCGUAAGACAAUUCUAUAUGACCAUCUUGACCUCAAAUCAGGUAGGACUACCCGCUGAACUUAA